AAUGAGCACUCACAUCCUCUGAGCUGAGACUUCACAUCACUGUCAUUGCCUACAACAUAGGACUUGUUUAUCUGACGGAGAAAUGUAAGUUCUUAUUUUAGAAGGAGUUUUUGUUGUUGGUUCUGCCAUGUGACUAAGAAAUGAAGUAACACGAAAAUGAACUAAAUCUUUUACUUUGUGUAGUACAUCUCUAAAUUGUGCAUUAGCAGUAAUGAGUUGUAAGAAACAUUCACAGUUCCUCAUAUUUGAGCAGGUCUACCUAGAAUUCUCUUUUCAGAAUAACUAUAUUGGGCUUUACACUUCUCAAGGGUACAGAAGACUUUCUUGUAACUAUUUUUAGUUAUAUUUUUAAAGAGCAGUUAGGAAUAUCAUCUGAAACUUGUAUCAUCAAGCAAAUGCCACAGAGUGAUCAUUAGCUGUACAACAGUGUAGACCUUUCGCUAUGUCUGUGGAGAAAUAUUUGCACUGUAACCAGAUCCAGUAGGAACUAUAAAAUGGUAGAUGCGAGUUUUUGAAGUAUUAAGUAGAAUUUUUAUUUUUUUCCCCCCAAAGACCUAAAAAAUCUAGGCAAAUAACUAAAAUAUUGAAUACUGCAGACUUGGUAUGCAGCAAAUAAAAAAAAAGCUAUUUAAGAGAUGUCAUUUUCUUUAGGUACAGAACUCAAAGUGAACUGCUUUUAGAAAAGCUGUUGUCUAACGGAGUGAUACCUUAUCAUUUAAUGGACCGAUGCCCUUUUCCUGACUGUUGUUUGCAGCUGGACUCCUCAGUUUUUAAGAAUAUCAAUACCUCUUCAAAAGAAAGUUGUGGAGGCUUUAAGUCAGGAAGGAUUUCCAUCAUUCUCUUUACGGGAGAGGGUCACGGACAAGGGGAAGCACCUCCCAGUUUCUGUUCCAGCAUCGGGAGGCACCUGUGAGGGAGCGCAGCUGUGGGGACCCCCUGGGUACGUUACCGAGCUGCUCCCCCGACCCACACAGGUGCCCUCUCCCGCACCCCGCGAACCCCGCGCAGAUGCUGCCGGCCCCGCUGGCCAUAAGAACCCUCCCGGACCCACCUCCCGCG
rnacentral:lncRNA from 1 species